GGUGUUGUGGCUCAGAGGUAGAGUGCUUGCCUAGCAUAUGUGAGGCACAAUCCUGUGCACCACAUAAAAAUAAAAUAAAGGUAUUGUGUCCACCUAAAACUAAAAAAUAAAUGUUAAAAAACAAAAAAACUAAAAACGCCCCAAAAACCAAUGGGCAUGGGCUGGGACUGUAGCUCAGUGCAUUUGUCUAACAUGCGUGAGGCACUGGUUUCAAUCCUCAGCACCA
rnacentral:tRNA from 1 species